AAGGCUGCAGAAAACUUCACCCUCUUGGUAAAGAACAACAUCUGGUACCCCAAGUUUAACUUCAGCAAGUAAGUGGGGGCCGGGCACGUGCGUUCUCAAGCCUCUCGAUAGAACUUCAGGCUCGCUCUCCCCCUGAGGUUGUCCUCACUCAGACUCUCUGCUUCCUCCCUGACUUCAGGAGGAACAUCCUCCCCAACAUCACCACGUCCUACCUCAAAUCGUGCAUUUACAAUGCUCAAACGGAUCCCUUCUGCCCCAUAUUCCGUCUUGGCACAAUCGUGGAGGACGCGGGACAUAGCUUCCAGGAGAUGGCAGUUGAGGUAGGUGGCCAACAUGGCUUCUCGUAUCUUCUUGGCCCCAGCAUGGGCCUGAGUUCUUGAAAGCCUAGCUUUUCUCUCCUGCUUUCCCCCACAGGGAGGCAUCAUGGGUAUCCAGAUCAAGUGGGACUGCAACCUGGAUAGAGCCGCCUCCCUUUGCCUGCCCAGAUAUUCCUUCCGGCGCCUGGACACCCGGGACCUGGAACACAAUGUGUCUCCUGGCUACAAUUUCAGGUACACCCACAUGGUGGGAGGACGAACAAAUGUGGGUCGAGCCUGGGCUGCACCGUGAGAGCUGCAUUCAAAUCUGCCGUCUGAGAAUGCUGCCCUAUC
rnacentral:lncRNA from 1 species